rnacentral:rRNA from 1 species
CAGUCGCCGCGGUAAUACGAAGGGUGCAAGCGUUAAUCGGAAUUACUGGGCGUAAAGCGCACGUAGGCGGAUUCUUAAGUCAGAGGUGAAAUCCCAAGGCUCAACCUUGGAACUGCCUUUGAUACUGGGGAUCUUGAGUUCGGGAGAGGUGAGUGGAACUGCGAGUGUAGAGGUGAAAUUCGUAGAUAUUCGCAAGAACACCAGUGGCGAAGGCGGCUCACUGGCCCGAUACUGACGCUGAGGUGCGAAAGCGUGGGGAGCAAACAGGAUUAGAUACCCCCGUAGUCCCUGUCUCUUAUAC